UACGGGGGGGGCAAGCGUUGUUCGGAAUUACUGGGCGUAAAGGGCUCGUAGGCGGCCAACUAAGUCAGACGUGAAAUCCCUCGGCUUAACCGGGGAACUGCGUCUGAUACUGGUUGGCUUGAGUGUGGGAGAGGGAUGCGGAAUUCCAGGUGUAGCGGUGAAAUGCGUAGAUAUCUGGAGGAACACCGGUGGCGAAGGCGGCAUCCUGGACCACGACUGACACUGAGGAGCGAAAGCCAGGGGAGCAAACGGG
rnacentral:rRNA from 1 species